GUCCUCGCCCCAUGGCGAUACAUACACACACCAAGAUUAGCUGGUAGAUGAUGACAAUAAGGUCAUCCGGUCGAAGGUUAUGAACAUUAAAAAAGCAGACAA
ncrna:unclassified sequences RT-17 RNA